AUUGAACGCUGGCGGCAGGCUUAACACAUGCAAGUCGAGCGGGGUGAUGGUGCUUGCACUAUCACUUAGCGGCGGACGGGUGAGUAAUGCUUAGGAAUCUGCCUAUUAGUGGGGGACAACGUCUCGAAAGGGAUGCUAAUACCGCAUACGUCCUACGGGAGAAAGCAGGGGAUCACUUGUGACCUUGCGCUAAUAGAUGAGCCUAAGUCGGAUUAGCUAGUUGGUGGGGUAAAGGCCUACCAAGGCGACGAUCUGUAGCGGGUCUGAGAGGAUGAUCCGCCACACUGGGACUGAGACACGGCCCAGACUCCUACGGGAGGCAGCAGUGGGGAAUAUUGGACAAUGGGGGGAACCCUGAUCCAGCCAUGCCGCGUGUGUGAAGAAGGACUUAUGGUUGUAAAGCACUUUAAGCGAGGAGGAGGCUCUUUUGGUUAAUACCCAGAAUGAGUGGACGUUACUCGCAGAGUAAGCACCGGCUAACUCUGUGCCAGCCACCGCCGUAA
rnacentral:rRNA from 1 species